rnacentral:miRNA from 1 species
UCCUGUAACUGGGCCAGUUUC